ACAGAAGGUGUGGGUGGACAAAGCAAAGCAGAGCCCUGACCUCACACCAGCUGGCUGAGCUGUCUUGGCUUGCAUUUGCUAUUCCAGCAUUUGUGGAGUUUGAAAUCUGCAUGCUUGGAGUGCGGAGAGCUGGAUCUUGCACCACAGUCUCCCUGUGGGCUCUUGAAUGAGAAAACCAGGGGAAGCAGAGGUAAGAACCUGUUCAAGAAGGCACAUCUCAGAUGUGGAAGAACUAUGAUUCAACUCGAGUCUGUCUGUUUCCCAAGACUGUGGUAUUUAAACAGCUUAUAAUGAAAAUUCCUUCUAUAGCUCCCCAUAAAAGGGCACACAGUUCUUUCUCAACAUAUUAUUUCAGGCAUUCAUUCACCAUUCAUGUAUUUGUGAAGGUGUUCUCUCUAAAUAAACUAUUGGGACCUUA
rnacentral:lncRNA from 1 species